GAGGAAACCGCCAUUGCCACUGGCGGCAUGGCUCAACCCGCCAUUGCCAGUGGCGGCAAAGGUGGAGAGAAGGGUGUAUUGUCACUAGCAGUGGCGAUAUGGCCACGUAGGAUGGAGAGAGGAGGGUGUCGCCAAUGGGAACGGCGACACACCCAGCUGGAGCCGCCAGUCCGACUGGCGAUAUAGCCCACGUGGGACUCGCCCACACGGCUGGCGAGACAGCCUGCAGCUUCGGUCUCGUCCACAGGACUGGCGAGACACCUUUAUAGCUUUUCAGUUCUGCUCUCCAUUGUUUAGGGAUGCAGCAACAUUGUUUAGGGAUGCAGAGUAGGAUUUGAC
rnacentral:lncRNA from 1 species